rnacentral:rRNA from 1 species
UACGGAGGGUGCAAGCGUUAUCCGGAUUUACUGGGUUUAAAGGGUGCGUAGGUGGGUCUGUAAGUCAGUGGUGAAAUCUCCGGGCUUAACCCGGAAACUGCCAUUGAUACUAUAGGUCUUGAAUAUUCUGGAGGUGAGCGGAAUAUGUCAUGUAGCGGUGAAAUGCUUAGAUAUGACAUAGAACACCAAUUGCGAAGGCAGCUCACUACGGGAUUAUUGACACUGAGGCACGAAAGCGUGGGGAUCAAACAGGA